rnacentral:piRNA from 1 species
UUGACGGAUUUUUUUGUAUUC